UUGAAAGCACAUAUAUUAGUAUAUAGUUAGUCUCGAAGCAAAAACCAUGAAGUCAACAGUUUUGCCAAUUAUUUUAUGCAUUCUUCUUAGUAGCUUUUUGUUAACCCCCAUUGAAGGUAUUUUAUAUUCAUAUCAGAUUAAUAUAAAUCUAGUUAAAUUAUGUUUGUGCAAAUGUGAUGUCCAGACACUUGACUCACAAAAACCAUCAAAUCCCUAUAUUUUUUUUAAUUGGGGUUUCACGAUUUUUUUUAAAAAUAGUUUUUACCAAAUAAAUAUAAAUUUUCGUGAUUUUUCAAUUUAGGUUUAUGGACUAUUGCUUAGAUAAGCAUAGAGUUGGGUGAAUGCUAUAUUCAUUUUCAAAUUUAUCUAUUUAUUUUUUUAAUUUUUCAUGGUUGUACAAAUUAUUUUAUAAAAAUUAUUAUUACACAUAUAAUAUUAUUGGUUGAAUGAAAAUAUUAUAUAGUCUACGCAUUUUUUCAAUAAAAACAAUUGUGCUAUUUCAUUUCAAUUUCAAUAAUGACAAAAUCGUUACAUAAAAACACAUAAUCUUAAAAAAGAGAUUCGUCAGAAUUUAUAUAGAAAAUUUGUAGCUCUCUCGUGAUUCUUUCGGAUAACUCUUCAUCACUGCACUUAAUUAUAUUUUGAUGUAUUUACAGGGUCACGCUGCCGACUAAACCUAGGGCAACAACCAGGAUCAUGCGACAGGCCUAAGGAUUCAGUGAACUGUGCUCUUGGGGUUAGUCCAUCAUUGAUGCCUACGCAUUGCGAUUGUGUUCAUGUUGGUGCUAAUCAGCGAAACUGCACAUGUGAAGUUGAGUCACCUCAGUGCCCAUCUGAGGCUGCAGCUGCUACAAAACCAAAAGAUAAUUAAUUACUGUUAUGUAUUUUGUUUUUAAAUUGGCGAAGUAUUCUGCCUAUCGGCAUAUGUUUAGUUGUUAUGUUCAAAGCUAUCGUUUGAUCACAAUAAUAAAAUAAAGUGAUUUUUUAGUUUUUUC
rnacentral:lncRNA from 1 species